rnacentral:rRNA from 1 species
UACGUAGGGGGCAAGCGUUGUCCGGAAUCAUUGGGCGUAAAGAGCGCGUAGGCGGCCCUGUAAGUCCGCUGUGAAAGUCAAGGGCUCAACCCUUGAAUGCCGGUGGAUACUGCAGGGCUAGAGUCCGGAAGAGGCGAGUGGAAUUCCUGGUGUAGCGGUGAAAUGCGCAGAUAUCAGGAGGAACACCGAUGGCGAAGGCAGCUCGCUGGGACGGUGAC